rnacentral:rRNA from 1 species
UGGGGAAUCUUGGACAAUGGGCGCAAGCCUGAUCCAGCCAUGCCGCGUGAGUGAUGAAGGCCUUCGGGUCGUAAAGCUCUGUCGUAUGGGACUAACAAAAUGAAGGUACCAUGCAAGAAAGGAUCGGCUAACUUCGUGCCAGCAGCCGCGGUAAGACGAGGGAUCCUAGCGUUGUUCGGAAUUAUUGGGCGUAAAGCGCACGUAGGCGGAUUUGUAAGUCAGGGGUGAAAUCCCGGGGCUCAACCUCGGAACUGCCCUUGAUACUGCAAAUCUCGAGUCCGAUAGAGGUGAGUGGAAUUCCUAGUGUAGAGGUGAAAUUCGUAGAUAUUAGGAAGAACACCAGUGGCGAAGGCGGCUCACUGGAUCGGUACUGACGCUGAGGUGCGAAAGCGUGGGGAGCAAACAGGAUUAGAUACCCUCGUAGUCCCUGAGCGGGCUGGCAAGGCGCAU